rnacentral:rRNA from 1 species
AGAGUUUGAUCCUGGCUCAGAACGAACGCUGGCGGCAGGCUUAACACAUGCAAGUCGAACGCCCCGCAAGGGGAGUGGCAGACGGGUGAGUAACGCGUGGGAACAUACCCUUUCCUGCGGAAUAGCUCCGGGAAACUGGAAUUAAUACCGCAUACGCCCUACGGGGGAAAGAUUUAUCGGGGAAGGAUUGGCCCGCGUUGGAUUAGCUAGUUGGUGGGGUAAAGGCCUACCAAGGCGACGAUCCAUAGCUGGUCUGAGAGGAUGAUCAGCCACAUUGGGACUGAGACACGGCCCAAACUCCUACGGGAGGCAGCAGUGGGGAAUAUUGGACAAUGGGCGCAAGCCUGAUCCAGCCAUGCCGCGUGAGUGAUGAAGGCCUUAGGGUUGUAAAGCUCUUUCACCGGAGAAGAUAAUGACGGUAUCCGGAGAAGAAGCCCCGGCUAACUUCGUGCCAGCAGCCGCGGUAAUACGAAGGGGGCUAGCGUUGUUCGGAAUUACUGGGCGUAAAGCGCACGUAGGCGGAUAUUUAAGUCAGGGGUGAAAUCCCAGAGCUCAACUCUGGAACUGCCUUUGAUACUGGGUAUCUUGAGUAUGGAAGAGGUAAGUGGAAUUCCGAGUGUAGAGGUGAAAUUCGUAGAUAUUCGGAGGAACACCAGUGGCGAAAGGCGGCU